rnacentral:rRNA from 1 species
CCUACGUGUGGCAGCAGUGAGGAAUAUUGGUCAAUGGCCGAGAGUCUGAACCAGCCAAGUAGCGUGAAGGAUGACUGCUCUAUGGGUUGUAAUCUUCUUUUAUAUGGGAAUAAAAUGUUCCACGUGUGGGAUUUUGUAUGUACCAUAUGAAUAAGGAUCGGCUAACUCCGUGCCAGCAGCCGCGGUAAGACUGAGGAUCCGAGCGUUAUCCGGAUUUAUUGGGUUUAAAGGGAGCGUAGGUGGAUGGGUAAGUCAGUUGUGAAAGGUUGCGGCUCAACCGUAAAAUUGCAGUUGAAACUGGCAGUCUUGAGUACAGUAGAGGUGGGCGGAAUUCGUGGUGUAGCGGUGAAAUGCUUAGAUAUCACGAAGAACUCCGAUUGCGAAGGCAGGUCACUGGACUGCAACUGACACUGAGGCUCGAAAGUGUGGGUAUCAAACAGGAUUAGAUACCCCAGUAGUC